rnacentral:rRNA from 1 species
GGACAAUCUAACCUAUGGAGGGGGAUAACCCCGGGAAACUGGGGAUAAUACCCCAUAGACUAUGGAUGCUGGAAUGCUCUGUAGUUGAAAGGUCCGCCGCCAUAGGAUGGGUCUGCGGCCGAUUAGGUUGUUGUUGGGGUAACGGCCCAACAAGCCUGUAAUCGGUACGGGUUGUGGGAGCAAGAGCCCGGAGAUGGAUUCUGAGACACGAAUCCAGGCCCUACGGGGCGCAGCAGGCGCGAAAACUUUACAAUGCGGGAAACCGUGAUAAGGGAACUCCGAGUGCCCGUAAAAUCGGGCUGUCCAUCGGUUUAAAUAACCGGUGAAGAAAGGGCCGGGCAAGACCGGUGCCAGCCGCCGCGGUAAUACCGGCGGCUCGAGUGGUGGCCACUAUUACUGGGCUUAAAGCGUUCGUAGCUGGUCUGUUAAGUCUCUGGGGAAAUCUGCCGGCUUAACCGGCAGGCGUUCCAGGGAUACUGGCAGACUAGGGACCGGGAGAGGUGAGGGGUACUCCAGGGGUAGGAGUGAAAUCCUGUAAUCCUUGGGGGACCACCUGUGGCGAAGGCGCCUCACCAGAACGGCUUCGACAGUGAGGGACGAAAGCUGGGGGAGCAAACCGGAUUAGAUACCCGGGUAGUCCCAGC